GUUCUCUCGAGAGCCGUCCCGGAGAGCACCUCACAACGCCGGUCAGCUCCGCUGCCCGACAGGGGGGAGGAGGCGAGGUACUGCUAAUUGCCGAGCGCCCACAAAGCGCUGCCUUACCCACCGCAGCCGCUAGAGAUUUCUUAUCGGCGCGCUUGCUGGCUCGGUGGUCGCGGUGCGAAAGCGCUGAGGCUGCACAGCCGGAGCUCCGUGCACGACGAGCACCCGCCGCCCUGCAGCAGGGUUCGGCACCCGCCCGCCGCGCAGCCACAAUCUGGCAGCCGCCGGCCCGCGCUCCCCGCACGCAGCUCCCUAUUUGGCAGCGCCCGGCACUGACCUCCCCGGCGGCGGCGGCGGCGGCUCCUCCAUGGCGGCGGCGGCAGGGAGCAGUGCGGCGACGUCUCUCAUGCAUGCACCGAGGCCGCCAUGGCGGCGGAUCGCAGUGCGCGGCCCGACCCGGCCCGCUACGGCGCCGGAGGUGCAGCGGCGGAGGAGGGGACGGGGGUGGGAGCUCUACCCGGCUGCAGGGACCCGGCCGCCAAGAGCCGCCCGCGCGGCCGCCAUCUUGGAAUCAGCCUCACAGGGCAGCGAAGCCGGGAGCAUCGCUACGGCGCGCGAGGAGGGACUCGCCGAGCCACAGGCGCUCUCUGCGCCGCGGCCGGAUGGGUGCGGAGGAGGCAGCGCUCCCCGCCCGGGACGCGCGCUGCUCUCCGUCCCCCUGCCGCCCGCCCUCUGGCCGGAGGCGGGCGGUGGGAGCGGGGCGUUGUCGUCUGCGAGACCGGGGGGCGGCGGAGGGGGUGCUGCCCGAGGUUCGCGACCCGGCCCCGGACGGGAGGGCGGCGGCGCGGGGCGCCGGGAGGACUCGAUUCGUGCGGCAGCUGAUGAGCCAGCCGGUUUACGCGGGUUGUUUGGGGUGCCGGGAGAUGCAGGGAGCUGCCGUGCCGGCGCUUGUCGGCCUCCCGGCGGGAUGAGUAACCCCGGGUUGUCCCACGACAGCCUGCCGUGAGGUGGCUCUCACCAAGGCACGGGGGGGGAUGCAGCCCUGCCUCACGCUGCAGUAUUAUGCACGUUGUUUCUUCGGGUUUUUGAGGAAACCACGUUGAUCAGCGUGCUCGCUUGUUCCCUGUUGGUUAUCUCAGAGCUACCGUUCGUCAGGUGGUUUACAGAACUGUUCCUGACACCUGCAAUCCACUGUGAGCGAGCGGCAUGGACGUUAGCAUCCAGGGACAGAGGGAAAGUCAAAGUUAGUGAUUACUGCGAGGAAGGCUGCAGGAUUUACCUGAGUAUUUACCAUCUCUGGGUGCUUGGGUGAUGACCUACGCGUGCAGAGGUUGGAGCCACCCAAAUAGUUCAAAGCCAUCUGGAAGGCUGGAGGCCCUGCAAUGACUUCUGUUCUCACAGAAGAACAGUCAUGAGAGAGCAGUUAUAUGCACGGGGGGGAGGGGUGUGGGGGAAAGCUGGCUUCAUGCUCCUGGAACAGCUUGUUUCAUUUUAGAAACAUUCUAAAGCCUACAGCAGUGCUGUUUAUCGGCUUAAAACAAAGACCUGAAGCCACAUGAUCCAUUUGGAAAUAUAGGGAGGAAAAAUGUAAUUUCCUGAACUACAUCUAUAACUUGGCUGAAAUAUGGGCUAACGCCCUUCAAAUGCAGAGAAAUGCAACAGGCUGGUUAAAUAUUCCAGUUGGUGAGAGCCUCAUCUUUUAUAUUUUAUAGGACCAGAGGAAGAGCAGCAAACCCUGGCACUGGCUCAUAAUUGUCCAAAGAUCUUCAAAAUAAUGGUUUCCAGAUUCAGGCUUCCUCCAAGAAAAAGAUUUGCCCUAAUUUGUACAAAGAGCAUCUAACAAUUUCAGAUCUCAUUCAUGUCCUCUCAUUCCCAAGGAAAAAAUAAAAUAAAAAGAUGGAUUGUUUUCCCUCUUUUUUUUUUCCUACAAGAAUUAAAAAAAAAAGAAGAAAAAGAAAGAAAAGUGACUUUGAAUUAGUUUGAGUGAAGAACACGUGAGAAAAAAACAUCAUUCACUGAGAUAACUAUGCACACAUCUGUAACCCAGUUGAAGGGCAGCGCAGUCACCGCUUCGCAGUCACAUACUGAAGCUAAGGGAAGAGCAGACUGCCAAGGAAAUACCUAUUCCUAAUGCAUCUGCCAAAGGAACGUUCAGUAAUACAAUCUGAGGCAGCAGUGUUAAUUAACAAGAAUUAUAUGUUUAUACUGGUUUUGUUUAAAGCACAAAGAUAAAGUUCCUGUUACGUUUAUGGAUGUAGUGUUAGUCUUACCUAUAUAUGACAGUGUUGUCACUGAUACAUCAUGGCAGCAUUCUACGUGAGACCAAAAAAAAAAACCCCAAAAAUCCAAAGAGAAAGCUUUUUAAGUGAUAUCACCAAUUUUAACUAAUUCUUAUUUUAAAACAUUAUGUAUCCCAAACAUAACUUGUAACCGUGUUCUGUUUUUCUUAGCACUGCACAUGCUUUUGCAAUUGUUUGGGUUUUUUUAAGAUGAUUGAUAUUGUCACCUUUGGGUGGAUCUCACUGUGACUGUGAGGAUAAAACAGACUUUGUUUUUUUUUAAGAGUAGCUGCACUUUAAACAGAUUCAGAUCCAUAGCUGUUGCUUGCUACUAUAGUGAUAAUCAGAAAUAGAAACAAAGGUGACAAAGUUUUCUUAGUUCUUGUUUUUAACCAAGGAAAAUAGAAUUAAAGUGUGUUGAUGGAGAACGGGGUGUCUCUUGAAGCUGAGGAUCUGUCAUUGCUCAGAUCUUCCUCUCUUACAGGCUGAGUGUUGUUACAUGUUUUUAACCCUGUUUCUGAUGUUUAUCCAUAUUUUGAAGUCUAGAUUUCUUCCUUCUUAACCUAGGCAGAGACAGUAGUCAAUUAGCCCUGCAACUUAGGCUGGACAUUAAGACACUAAUAUAAAGCAUCCUGAACUCACUUGGAAGACUCCAGCUUUCUAACUGUUCAUGGACAUUUUGCAAAGCUAGGAAAAACUGCUUAUCUGGAGAUUCAGCAAACAGAUUUAAAUUGGGUGAGCACACAUUAUUCUUUUGGUAGUUCUGGAGAGGGACUGCUGACGAGCUUGCUUGUUCACCUGUUGGAAGCAUUCAGUCUAGGUCAGUUACAAAACUUUAUCACACAUUGUGUAACUGCAACAUGCCUGCAUGAGAUCAUAGAAUUAUUUAUCUUCUAACUAGCUCUUCAGAUGGACACUAACACUUUAGAUGGACCUUUGAGCCAUAGCCCAUUUGGAGUGGAUCCAUCAGUGACCCAUCAAGAACAUUAAUGGCAUGGAGCAUCUGACAUCUGAGGAGAAGCUGAGAGACAUGUAAUGUUCAGCCUGGAGGACAGAAGGCUCUGGAAGGAUCUUACCAAAGUGAACAAAUACUUGAUGUCUGGGAGUGAUGCCCAGUGAAAAGGACAAGAGGCAAUGGGCACAGACUGGAACACGGGAAAUUCUGUUCAAACAUGAGAAAAACUUUCCUUGCCACUAGGUUGGCUGAGCAACAGCACAGGUUGCUUAGAGAGGUUACGGAGUUUCCAUCCUUGGAGAUAUACAAAACUCCACUAAUUGUGGCCCUAAACAACAUGCUCCAGCUGACCCCUGUUUCGAGGAGGGGGCUGGGGUAAGAUGAUUUUCAGAGGUACUCAUCCACAUCAGCCAUUUUGUGAUUCAGUGAUCCAACUGAUCUCAUAAAUGCUUUUCAAUUACAAGUAAACUCCAAUACACUGUAAAAUAAAACUAUUUACAAGCACACAGCACCACAAAACUUUUGUUAUCAUUUACAGUUCUCUCACAAAUUAUGUGUUUUGUUGGUUUGUUGUUGUUCUUUGCUUUUUAAAUUAUGGAUCUUAAAUAGAAAGCAGCUGAAGAUACAAAUUAAAUUACUCUUAAAUAAAUAUAUCAUCAUUCACACUGCUGUUAAGUAGCCACUUCUUCUGCAUAUUAAAUAGUAACUUCUUGUCAGAAGAAGGUGCAUAAAGACUGUUUACACAAGAUAUAAGGACAGCUUUGUUGGAAAACCUUUUUCUCCUCCUUUACAAAGUUGUGUAGUUUCCUACUGAUGAAGUUUUACAGUCAGGCUGACCAUCCUGCCUUUUCUGUAUUUUAUGCCUGAGCUGUUAGUAAGCUGUUUUAAGAAACUCUUACAGAAAAAUUAACAUCAACCAUGUAUUUUGCUUUCAUAAUUCAAUUAAUGAAAAAAACUUGAUAUUCAAAUUUCAUAAAUAAUAAAUAUUGCAUUUUACAUGUCCACUAAAUCAAGUCUGU
rnacentral:lncRNA from 1 species